rnacentral:rRNA from 1 species
UACGGGGGGGGCAAGCGUUGUUCGGAAUUACUGGGCGUAAAGGGCUCGUAGGUGGCCAACUAAGUCAGACGUGAAAUCCCUCGGCUUAACCGGGGAACUGCGUCUGAUACUGGAUGGCUUGAGUUUGGGAGAGGGAUGCGGAAUUCCAGGUGUAGCGGUGAAAUGCGUAGAGAUCCGGAGGAACACCAGUGGCGAAGGCGACACGCUGGGCCGUACCUGACACUGAUGCGCGACAGCAUGGGGAGCAAACAGG